rnacentral:snoRNA from 1 species
AACUAGCACGGAUGUCAAAUUGCAAUUCAGUCUACUUUCCCGUGACUGCAGUUGUGCCGAAGAUGUGCUGAUAUCAAUGACGAAGAGUCGGUUCUCACUCGAGAGCUGUGUUUUUCUAAAGUAGCAAGCAGCCUGGAAUCCGGGCGCGUGGCGAACGGGACAUCGUAAGGUUCUCGGCCGCACCGAAUUGCGCACAUAU